rnacentral:rRNA from 1 species
CCCUUAGAUGUUCUGGGCUGCACGCGCGCUACACUGAUGCGCUCAACGAGUUUUAACCUUGCCUGGAAAGGUUGGGUAAUCUUUUUAAAACGCAUCGUGAUGGGGAUAGAUUAUUGCAAUUAUUAAUCUUCAACGAGGAAUUCCUAGUAAACGCAAGUCAUCAGCUUGCAUUGAUUACGUCCCUGCCCUUUGUACACACCGCCCGUCGCUCCUACCGAUUGAAUGUUCCGAUGAAUACCAUGGACUGAGAGUAUGAAUGGGUUCGCCUAUUUCUGCUUCUCGGGAAGUGGAGUAAAUCUUAACAUUUAGAGGAAGGAGAAGUCGUAACA